AAAUUUCUGGAUCAGCAACUGCAAAUGACCCACCUCCUGGUUCGUCUUCCCCAUUACUCUCCCAUUCGUGCCCCACUACCUCCUCGUUCGUCACCAUCCAUCUAAGUCAUAUUCAUGUUCAAUGAAAAUAUUGAGCGAAGAGGAACAAGAGCCAGUAAGUUCAUCCAUGGCUUCUCUAUGAACAAGAGCCAGUAAGUUCAUCCAUGGCUUCUCUAUGGUGGAGAUGGAGACUUUAACCUUCGUCUGUUUUUAAAUUAAAUUAAUUUUCAAAAGGUUACAAAUUUUUUUUUAAAAAAACAAAACCCAUCUUUUUCCUAAAUGUCUUCCCUUUCCUUCUUUCAAUUUCAUCCCCAAAUGCCUUUCCUUUCUCCUCCCAACACCAUCCCUGACUUUCUCCAUCACAUUUCCUCUCUUUCCAAUCCCUUAGAUAGGGCUUCUAGACUCCAUUCUCUUAUCACCAACUUGGAGGAUGAAAUGAAGAUGAUUGAUGCCUUCAAGCGCGAGCUUCCCUUGUGUAUGCUUCUCUUGAAUGAUGAUCUUCAUUUCUGAUAUCCCACAUUCAGGGCCUCAAGUUUAGCGAAAGGUCUUGGCAAUCCAACUUCAGUGCGAGAUUGAGCCUGUUUCUGCUGGGAUUCAGUAUGAUAGAGAGUUCAUUGUGUGCUGUCUUGAUCUUCUUUCAGUACUUGCAAAAGGUCUUGGCAGUGGAAUUGAAAGCUUGCAGUAAUUGAUACGACAAUAUAUUCUGAACUUGCUUGCAUGUGGCAUUUCAUGGAAUUUCCCUCAGGUUUCUCAAAGCAAUUUGAGGGACUUGCUCUUGCAAUGCUGCAUGGAUGAAGCUUUGGAUGUCCGACAGAGUGCCUUUGCAUUGCUUGGGGAUCUUGGAAGAGUAAGCAUUUGGAUUGAUCUCUUAGAUUGUUUUUCCUUUGCUUCUUUUUGAUUUAGUAGGUUAUUCAAAAAUCUUAAUUGCAACGAGCCUCUCAGCAUUAAUCAUGCUUGCCUAUUUUCCCUUGAAAAAGUAAUGAAUUGUUCUUCAGUGGAGGGAUGAAGCACAUGAUUUAUACGCAAGUCUAUGCUGACUACUAGGAACUUCUGUUUCUUGAUAUUUUUCUUGUGUUUAUGGUUUAUUUAUAUUAUGUGGUCAGGUAUGCCACGUCCAUUUGCAACUGCUUUUAUCAGAAUUUCUUACCGCUGCAGCAAAGCAACUAGUAAUUAAGCUAUUUUAUGGCUUACAUUUCUAAUUUGAGGUUAUUUUACUGGUCUUAUAUGAGUAAUUUGCACAGGAUGCUCCUAAGCUGAAGGAAAUUGUUUAUGUGGCAAACAAUUUCUGCUGGGCAAUUGGAGAAUUAGCUGUUAAGAUUGCAAGGAGUUGAGGAUAACAAUCGGUGAGACUUUGAUCAGUUUGAAGUUAUCUAAGAGUGUUGGUGCUUGGAGGAGGGUGAUGUCUCUGUUUCUUAUUAUUACAUAUACUUUGUGUUUUGUGAUUAAGAACGAUGUUUAUAACUCGUUUUGUAAUAUGAAUAAGAACGAUAUGUUUCUAUGUUGGAAGUAUAUUGUAAUGACCAACUAUAUGUAUAUGUUCAAUGAUAUAUAUACAAUUUGUUAGUCGUUUGAUUGAA